rnacentral:rRNA from 1 species
AGUAAAAGUCGUAACAAGGUUUCCGUAGGUGAACCUGCGGAAGGAUCAUUACCUAGAGUUGUAGGCUUUGCCUGCUAUCUCUUACCCAUGUCUUUUGAGUACUUACGUUUCCUCGGCGGGUCCGCCCGCCGAUUGGACAAUUUAAACCAUUUGCAGUUGCAAUCAGCGUCUGAAAAACUUUAAUAGUUACAACUUUCAACAACGGAUCUCUUGGUUCUGGCAUCGAUGAAGAACGCAGCGAAAUGCGAUAAGUAGUGUGAAUUGCAGAAUUCAGUGAAUCAUCGAAUCUUUGAACGCACAUUGCGCCCCUUGGUAUUCCAUGGGGCAUGCCUGUUCGAGCGUCAUUUGUACCUUCAAGCUUUGCUUGGUGUUGGGUGUUUGUCUCGCCUUUGCGUGUAGACUCGCCUUAAAACAAUUGGCAGCCGGCGUAUUGAUUUCGGAGCGCAGUACAUCUCGCGCUUUGCACUCAUAACGACGACGUCCAAAAGUACAUUUUUACACUCUUGACCUCGGAUCAGGUAGGGAUACCCGCUGAACUUAAGCAUAUCAAUAAGCGGAGGAAAAGAAACCAACAGGGAUUGCCCUAGUAACG